CAAGCUAGUGGGAGCUAUAAGCAUCUUAUGAGAAAAUGAUCAAAUCGUUUGAUUUCUCAUAAAGAUGUAAAUGAAUCUUUUGUUUACUAGGUUUACAAAAGAUUAGUGGGAGUUAAUAAUGUUCCUAAAAUUUAAAUAUAUAUAUGAUAUAUUAAUUUUGGAAAUGAAAAGAAUACUUCUUCGUUAAAGUUAUGACUUUAAAACAUUAUAUGAAGAUAGAAUGUAUAUGGGAGACAUAGUAUAUAUACAUGGGAUGGAAAUCUAUAUUGAUAGAUUUUAGGAUAUAAUUGGAUUAUAUCAAGCCCUAAAUAUAGACAAAAGAUGAUAGGAAGUUUCUCAUAUGAUGAUGAACUUCAAUCAAAUGGACAACUCUAGUAAGACUAAGGAGUUGCUCUUCUCAAAGAGAACGUACUCUUUGACUCCCAAAGAAAUAAUGCGUAAAUAGAAUCCUUUAUGCAUACGCAGAAAGGUGAUUUAUGUAUUUCAUAUUGUAUGAAAAACAUUGAUAUGAGUUGUACCUAGAAAGGUGCAAGACGAUAUCAGUGCAAGCCCAGGAUCAGAACCAUGGCAACUGUCAAGUGAGUACUUAAGUAUUUAAGAAAUACUAAAGGAUAAAUUCCUCAAAGAUCGAGGAAGAAUUAGAGUAACGUAAAGGAAGCGUAAAUGUAUUAGAUUAUGAAUCUAAUCCAU
rnacentral:lncRNA from 1 species